UGGGGAAUCUUGCGCAAUGGGCGAAAGCCUGACGCAGCGACGCCGCGUGAGCGAUGAAGGCCUUCGGGUUGUAAAGCUCUGUGGGGAGGAAAGAAUAAGGCUUGGCUAAUAUCCAAGUCGAUGACGGUACCUCCUUAGCAAGCACCGGCUAACUCUGUGCCAGCAGCCGCGGUAAGACAGAGGGUGCAAACGUUGUUCGGAAUUACUGGGCGUAAAGCGCGUGUAGGCGGCCCUGCAAGUCGGAUGUGAAAUCCCACGGCUCAACCAUGGAAGUGCAUUCGAAACUGCAGAGCUAGAGUCCUGGAGAGGAAGGUGGAAUGCUUGGUGUAGAGGUGAAAUUCGUAGAUAUCAAGCGGAACACCGGUGGCGAAGGCGGCCUUCUGGACAGUGACUGACGCUGAGACGCGAAAGCGUGGGGAGCAAACAGG
rnacentral:rRNA from 1 species